AAUGCUCCUCGCCGUCUCCAAAACCGGAAAACCGCUUUGCCAGCGCCAACUGUUAUAUGAAAACUAAAGAUCAUUUUGAGAUCUGAAUUCUUAGCCCAGCAAAACUCUUUUCUGGCUCUCUAGUAAAAAUUCCAAAAAAAAACUCUUUUUUCUGGUUGAAAACUCCGUUGUUUUCCUGACGAAUCUCUCUCAAGCGUCCGCGCACAUUUAUCAAUCUCUCUUGAAUGGCCUCACCAUCCGACGCCUCCAACCAGUAAGUUCACAAUUCUCGUUUUGUUUUUUGAAAAAAUUUGGGUCUUUUUGAAGCUCAAGUCUGGAUCUUUCCUGAAUAAUCCGAAUUGAUCGGUUGUGUUAACUCGAGGGUUUUGGUCUUUUCUCUUUUUGGUGAUUGAAAGGGAGGCUGUUGUGAGGAAGCAAACAAGAGCCCCGAUAGUUCUUGGUCCCUCUAUAUACGCCCUGUCUCCUCUCAGUACGUAUGAUGAUCGUUUAGAGUUUGAUUAAAUUUCGUGGGUUU
rnacentral:lncRNA from 1 species